UACGUAGGGUGCAAGCGUUGUCCGGAAUUAUUGGGCGUAAAGAGCUCGUAGGCGGUUUGUCGCGUCGAAUGUGAAAACCCGGGGCUCAACUCCGGGCCUGCAUUCGAUACGGGCAGACUAGAGUUCGGUAGGGGAGACUGGGAAUUCCUGGUGUAGCGGUGAAAUGCGCAGGAAUAUCAGGAGGAACACCGGUGGCGAAAGGGCGGGGUCUCCGUGGGGCCGAUGA
rnacentral:rRNA from 1 species